rnacentral:lncRNA from 1 species
AUCUGUAAGAUGGGGAAGUGUAAUCAGUUCUGAACCCACAUAUACCUCACUGGGCUUGAACAGGCCUGAGUAGGCAUGUGGGGCUUUACUAGCUAGCCAUCCUUUCUGCCGCUCUCCCUCAUUCUCCUUCAAGCCCCCCAAAAUCCUUGGUGGAGGAGGAAGUGGAGACAGAACGUUUGGUGUUGGGUGAGGUACGUGAGGAGGCUGAUUUCAGAACCUCCAGGAAACAAAGCUUUAGUGUUCCGAGGGCAGUGCCCGCCUGUGCCUCCUCCUCACAGGGGGCAGUAGGAGUAGGGUGGGGCCGAGGCAUUUCCCAGCACAGCUCAAUCACAUCUCCUGCACCUGCCCUUGUGACCUGCUCACUGGAAAGGGAAGAAAUGACCCAGGGAGAAGGGAGGGCAUUUGAGGUAUUUUUCCCUCUCCAGCCUGGUCUUCUCCUGUAGCGCGUGGCCGCCUUUUCCAGCACGG